rnacentral:lncRNA from 1 species
UUAACUCAAAAAUAAAUUAUUUUUCCUCUCCAAAACUGAAAAUUGGAUGAAAGAUGAUUCCAAAAAUGUGAAAGGGUUUUGCCUUUUAUGAUUUGGGAUUCAACUCUAUGAAAUUCCAAUUCUGCCAUUGAAGAAUUCACAACCUAUUGUGAUUGCCCUCUUUUUGUCGUGAUUAUGGACAGACAAAGAAAUUCAUCCCAUAGCUAUC